UACGUAGGGUGCAAGCGUUGUCCGGAAUUAUUGGGCGUAAAGAGCUCGUAGGCGGUCUGUCGCGUCGGCUGUGAAAACCCGGAGCUCAACUCCGGGCCUGCAGUCGAUACGGGCAAACUGGAGUGUUGCAGGGGAGACUGGAAUUCCUGGUGUAGCGGUGAAAUGCGCAGAUAUCAGGAGGAACACCGGUGGCGAAGGCGGGUCUCUGGGCAACAACUGACGCUGAGGAGCGAAAGCGUGGGGGAGCGAACAGG
rnacentral:rRNA from 1 species